AUUGAACGCUGGCGGCAGGCCUAACACAUGCAAGUCGAGCGGCUGCACGGGGUUCGCCCCUGGAUCCAGCGGCGGACGGGUGAGUAAUGCCUAGGAACGUGCCCGGUAGUGGGGGAUAACGUACCGAAACGGGCGCUAAUACCGCAUACGACCUGUGGGAGAAAGUGGGGGAUCUUCGGACCUCAUGCUCUCGGAUGAGCCUAGGUCGGAUUAGCUAGUUGGUGGGGUAAAGGCCUACCAAGGCGGCGAUCAGUAGCUGGUCUGAGAGGAUGAUCAGUCACACUGGAACUGAGACACGGUCCAGACUCCUACGGGAGGCAGCAGUGGGGAAUAUUGGACAAUGGGCGCAAGCCUGAUCCAGCAAUGCCGCGUGAGUGAAGAAGGCCUUCGGGUUGUAAAGCUCUUUUGGUAGGGAGGAAGCGCAGUAAGUUAAUACCCUGCUCUAUUGACGGUACCUAAAGAAUAAGCACCGGCUAACUUCGUG
rnacentral:rRNA from 1 species